rnacentral:rRNA from 1 species
AGUGAACGUUGGCGGCGUGGAUUAGGCAUGCAAGUCGAGCGAGAACCGUAGCAAUACGGGGACAGCGGCGAAAGGGACAGUAAUGUGUAGGUACCUACCCCGAGGUCUGGGAUAGCUGCGGGAAACUGCAGGUAAUACCGGAUAAUGUCUUCGGACCAAAGGUGUGAUUCCACCUUGGGAGGGGCCUGCAUCCUAUUAGCUAGUUGGCGGGGUAACGGCCCACCAAGGCGACGAUGGGUAGCGGGUGUGAGAGCACGACCCGCGUCAUUGGGACUGAGACACUGCCCAGACACCUACGGGUGGCUGCAGUCGAGGAUCUUCGGCAAUGGGCGAAAGCCUGACCGAGCGACGCCGCGUGCGGGAUGAAGGCCUUCGGGUUGUAAACCGCUGUCGUAGAGGAGGAAAUGCAGGGGGGUUCUCCCCUUUGUUUGACCUAUUCUAGGAGGAAGUACGGGCUAAGUUCGUGCCAGCCGCCGCCGUAA